UUAUUUUUAUGUGGUGUAGAAAGAAAAAAAAGAAAGGAAAGAGAUAAGAAGAAGUGGGUAAGAGAGGGUGAGAGAUAUCAGAAAGGAAAAAGGAAAAGAAAGAGAGAAGAAGAGAAAGAGAAAGUAAGAGGAAAAGAGAAAGAAAGAGGAAAAAAGAAAGAGGAAGAAGAGGAGAAGAAGAAAACUCAUGGGAGAAGAAGAAGAAGGAAGCCAUGGAAGCACCAUCAUCUCAUCUUCAUCAUCACCAAC
rnacentral:lncRNA from 1 species